UUGAUACUCCCUCUGUCCGAAAAUACUUGUCAUCAAAAUGGAUAAAAGAGGAUGUAUCUAGACGUAUUUUAGUUCUAGAUACAUCUUUUUUUAUCCAUUUUGAUGACAAGUAUUUUCGGACGGAGAGAGUAGUUC
rnacentral:pre_miRNA from 1 species